rnacentral:rRNA from 1 species
GAUGAACGCUGGCGGCGUGCCUAAUACAUGCAAGUCGAGCGAACGGACGAGAAGCUUGCUUCUCUGAUGUUAGCGGCGGACGGGUGAGUAACACGUGGAUAACCUACCUAUAAGACUGGGAUAACUUCGGGAAACCGGAGCUAAUACCGGAUGAUAUUUUGAACCGCAUGGUUCAAAAGUGAAAGACGGUCUUGCUGUCACUUAUAGAUGGAUCCGCGCUGCAUUAGCUAGUUGGUAAGGUAACGGCUUACCAAGGCAACGAUGCAUAGCCGACCUGAGAGGGUGAUCGGCCACACUGGAACUGAGACACGGUCCAGACUCCUACGGGAGGCAGCAGUAGGGAAUCUUCCGCAAUGGGCGAAAGCCUGACGGAGCAACGCCGCGUGAGUGAUGAAGGUCUUCGGAUCGUAAAACUCUGUUAUUAGGGAAGACCAUAUGUGUAAGUAACUGUGCACAUCUUGACGGUACCUAAUCAGAAAGCCACGGCUAACUACGUG